GCUAUGCUCCUCCUACUACUUAAAUACAGUCACACACAAGACAGUUGCCUUGCAGAAGAGAGUAUAAAACCAUUGCAGCCUGUGAGCUUACAUGUAUGUGUGCACUACAUACUUCAUUCACCAUCACGUCUGAUGGUGAAUGUCAACUGGCUUUGGAGGACAUGAUGGAUCAUCCUGCAAAGAUGUCAACUGUAGAAGAGCAGCAGCAGUGUUGUGUGUGUUUAGAGACGUGCAAAGAUCCAGUGUCUCUCAGCUGUCAUCACUGCUUCUGUGUCCACUGCUUGGACACACUCAGAGGACAACAUGCAAGCAAGACAUGUCCACUCUGUACAAGGAGAAGGUCAAUGGAUACACCGCUGGUCUUUUCUGAUGGCAAAUAUGUUUUUGACAACGUCCAAUAAAAGAAAAAGUGGAUAGUCAGCGUCAUUGGAACUACAAACCACGCCCCCGACCACGCCCCCCUUCUACCCCAACGGGAUCUACUGAAAGAGGAUCUGCAAGUCUUGGACAGAGGACAUGAUGGAUCAUCCUGCAAAGAUGUCAACUGUAGAAGAGCAGCAGCAGUGUUUAGAGACGUGCAAAGAUCCAGUGUCUCUCUGCUUGGACACACUCAGAGGACAACAUGCAAGCAAGACAUGUCCACUUGGCACAAGGAGAGCAUCUUUAGAACUACCAACAGUGGUCAACUUUGUUUUGGAGACAAAGGAGGACAACCUGGGACAAAAUAAGAGAACAAACAUUAAAAAUUUGGAAUGAAGAUGAGAGAAAAUACAAAUCAAGAUGAACAAGCAUUGUGGAGAAAGAAUGUGCAGGAAGGGAAUGUUGAACAAUUAAAUGUUUACUGAAGCUGGACAUGUUAAAAAGUGUAAAUAGAGCUGAUGUGGUACAAGAACUGGACUUCUAGGUUCAAAGUAGUCAACCUGGGACUUUCAGUACAGAUAAAAAGUUUGGUUGAAAAUGAAACAUCCAUUAAAUUAAUUCUUGUUUCUGGUGAUGGUUUUUAUAUUAGUAUUAUCUUGAUUUGAUUUUGUAUGUACUUUGUCAUAUUUUAUUCAUUAUGGUACUUUUUCAUCACUUACAAUAUUGUUUGUUUUUGGUACACUAAUGAGCACAGCAGAGUUGAUGUCUCAAAAUCAGGCCCGGCCCUAACCAAUCUGGCGCCCUAGGCAAGAUUUUAGGUGGCGCCCCCCCACAUCGGCAGUGAAGUGUAUAUACUCACAAGAACCCGAAUAGCUUUGUCUUUGACCUUUUUUUUUUUACUUACAACUAUACCUAAUAUAUAAAGGGGUGGAAAAGUGACUAUUACCUGCAGGGCAAACAUUAGCUAACCAGAAGGCAAUAACAAUGUAAACAAAAAACACCUGCUUAAAAGAUCUAAUACAAACAUUUAUAUGCACGUACAACACUUAGAACUUUUAGCAUAUCAGUAUGUGGAAUGAAAUUAUGGAAUGGAUUAAGUAAAGAAGUUAAAAAUUGUACUGAUAUGAUCCAGUUUAAGAGGUUGUUCAAAAUAAUAGUGCUUACAGAGUACAAAAAAGAAGAAUUAUGAGAAAUACUUUCAACCUUAUUGAAAAUAA